rnacentral:rRNA from 1 species
UACGGAGGGGGCAAGCGUUGUUCGGAAUUACUGGGCGUAAAGGGCGCGUAGGCGGUUCGCUAAGUUGAAUGUGAAAACUCUGGGCUUAACCCAGAGCCUGCAUUCAAUACUGGCGGGCUAGAGUUCUGGAGGGGAUAGCGGAAUUCCUGGUGUAGCGGUGAAAUGCGUAGAUAUCAGGAGGAACACCGGUGGCGAAGGCGGCUAUCUGGACAGAGUCUGACGCUGAGGCGCGAAAGCUAGGGGAGCAAACAGG